AAAGUCGUAACAAGGUUUCCGUAGGUGAACCUGCGGAAGGAUCAUUAUUGAACUUAUUUUCAACAUUGUGAACUUUUUUGUUCUUGUUUUUAUUUGGUAUUUGUUCCUGAUUGGUGGUUUUAGUGCAGUCUUGCCUUUUGGGUGAGGCUGUGCGAUGCUGUCGGUGAGAAACAAGUGGCACGUAAAAACAAGAAACAAAACAUUUUAAACUUACUAAACAUACAGUCUAAUCAAAAAACAACAAUCAAAAACAACUUUUAACAAGGGAUCUCUUGGCUCUC
rnacentral:misc_RNA from 1 species